ACGGGUGAGUAAUACAUCGGAACGUGCCCGAUCGUGGGGGAUAACGCAACGAAAGCUGUGCUAAUACCGCAUAAGAUCUACGGAUGAAAGCAGGGGAUCGCAAGACCUUGCGCGAAUGGAGCGGCCGAUGGCAGAUUAGGUAGUUGGUGAGGUAAAGGCUCACCAAGCCUUCGAUCUGUAGCUGGUCUGAGAGGACGACCAGCCACACUGGGACUGAGACACGGCCCAGACUCCUACGGGAGGCAGCAGUGGGGAAUUUUGGACAAUGGGCGCAAGCCUGAUCCAGCCAUGCCGCGUGCAGGAUGAAGGCCUUCGGGUUGUAAACUGCUUUUGUACGGAACGAAACGGCCUUUUCUAAUAAAGAGGGCUAAUGACGGUACCGUAAGAAUAAGCACCGGCUAACUACGUGCCAGCAGCCGCGGUAAUACGUAGGGUGCAAGCGUUAAUCGGAAUUACUGGGCGUAAAGCGUGCGCAGGCGGUUAUGUAAGACAGUUGUGAAAUCCCCGGGCUCAACCUGGGAACUGCAUCUGUGACUGCAUAGCUAGAGUACGGUAGAGGGGGAUGGAAUUCCGCGUGUAGCA
rnacentral:rRNA from 1 species